UGAUAAUACGAAUGAAAACAGACAGAUAACCAGCUUGAAAUAUUUACAGAUACAAUGCUGAAGUGAGACUUCACAAAGUAUUAAUAAGAGUCCAGGUUAUUUAAAGGGAGUAGUGUGAGUGCAAACAGCUGAGGGUCAAUAGUAAUCAGGUGACUGUACAUGGGGACAGAAGCUUGACUAGGGGAUGCAGGCUGAGGAUCAUGGGAUGCUGAUGUGACAGUGAGUUUCAUUUGGAGAGGAUUUGUGCCAUUUGUAGAUCAUUUUUGUCAUCUGUAAAUCCAGUUAUAGAUGUUUUUACCUGUUUGCUACCUUUUUUCUCUGAAUAUAUUGCCCGUAGUAGCUUAGGUAAAAAGAACAAAUACUGUAGUUAUGGUCAACUCCUACUUAUUAAGCUUGCAAGUGUCUACAUUUACAUGAGUCAUUCACCACCAGGGUGCAGUGUGACACCAUAAAUACAUUCAGUGCUGAGGUCAGGCAGCUCCUAAACAGCUGGAAAUUCCAUGGAAAAUAAAGUUCAUGAUUCCAGCUGGAUCCAGGACUUUAUUGGACUAUUUUGGUGUAAUUUCACAAAGUUAGGAAUACUCUGUACCGGUGGGAUUGUCCUCCUGUGCUGAUGCUCCUGUCUCAGACUAAAUAAAGUGAAUAAAGUGUAAAUCCUUCUGCUUAUAAAGUUUCAGACAGUUUUUCUGUAGUAGUGUUGAAGACCUGGUCAGUGUUCCACAUUUAAAAGAAAGUGAUGAAUUAUGCUUAAUUUCAUGACUGUCAUCACUGUCUGUGUCAUACAGAGUUGAAGUGUCAAGAGUCAAGAAGGAGCUCAAACUGGAAUUUUGGUAAAAUGAAGAAAUCAAAGUACAAUAGACACUUAGCUUCACACAAACAGACUGAUUUAGUGUUUAACCAGAGAGCGAGAGAGAGAGUGAGAGUGAGAGAGAGAGAGAGAGAGAGCAGUGAGGUGUAACUGAGAUUUGCAUUAACAGGACUGAAGAGUUUCAUUUCUCCCAGAAUAGCAAUUGCCAGUCCAUGCUUCAGUGCUCUGCGAGUGUUUAUAGCCCUGUGACUUUAACACUUCAUGACUGAGAGCUGCUGCUCAGCAACUUCACCCACAGCAACCAUGACUUUGAUCAGCGUCUUCAUCUGCACACUGGCCCUCUGGACUCAAGGAUCCAGAGGUCAGGUGACUGUGACUCAGACUCCUUCAGUGCAAACUGCUGAUCCAGGAAAAACAGUCACCUUCAACUGUAGAACCAGUAGCAGUGUGUAUGUUGGUGAUACUCUUCACUGGUACCUGCAGAAACCUGGAGAAGCUCCUAAACUCCUGAUCCAUGAUGCUACUAGCUCAUACACAGGGACUCCAGCUCGUUUCAGUGGCAGUGGAUCUAAUACUGACUUCACUCUGACCAUCAGAGGAGUCCAGACUGAAGAUGCAGGAGAUUACUACUGUCAGAGUGUACAUGAGAUCGGUAGUAGCUAUGUGUUCACACAGUGUUAGAGCGCCGUACAAAAA